rnacentral:rRNA from 1 species
AUGGAGUUCCAAGGGCAGCACGACAACCCUGCCAACCGCGUCGACGAGUACGGCAACCCGUUCCCGCUGGCCGGCGGCGUGGGGGUGCGCAUGCCGCUCCCGGCACCGGCGGGCAGUUCCAGGCCCGUAGGGAGGAGCACAAGACCGGUGGGAUCCUGCAUCGCUCCGGCAGCUCCCGCUCAAGCUCGGUAUGAUCCUCUGUCGCGUGUCGACACACACAUGCAGGGGCGGAGCUUUGUUGGGGCAAAACCGGGCUAUGGCCCGCCCAGAUCGAUCAAGCCUCCAAACUCGCUCCAACGUACACAGCAGGAGCAGCAGCCGCCACACAGCAACGACGCGUAUGCGUUGCACAGUAACGAUGCGCAGAUCGCACAGCUUCCUCGCUCUUCGCUGCUAAACGCACGCGACACCUUCGCCCGCCCAACUUUUUCUUUGAAGCUCCGCCACUGCACACAUUCUUCCGAGGACGACGGCAUGGGCGGGAGGAGGAAGAAGGGCAUGAAGGAGACGAUCAACGAGAAGCUCCCCGGCGGCCACAAGGACAACCAGCAGCACAUGGCGACUGGAACGGGGACUGGAGGAGCCUACGGGCCGGGGACUGGAACUGGUGGAGCCUACGGGCAGCAAGGCCACGCAGGAAUGGCCGGCGCCGGCACUGGCACCGGCGAGAAGAAGGGGAUCAUGGACAAGAUCAAGGAGAAGCUGCCGGGACAGCACUGCGCUGCCGGCUCCGGCUGGCUGCUUCCUUUGCAUAGUUACACGCGUCAAAGCCUUCCAGUUCCACGUGAUCUUAUUCAAUAA